UUAUAAGCCAAAAUAGAUUUUAGUACAAAAUGUACUUCAAAAAUGUUAAGAUAGAUAUAAGAUUUUCUUAAAUUACAAAUUACCAAAAAAAAAAAUUAAAAAAAGAAAUAAAUUCUAAUAUACCCAACUUCAGAUCCUACCAAUAAACACAUCCAAAAACUAAAAACAAAAUCAAAUCUCUUAAACUCUACUUUUUCAAAUUU
rnacentral:lncRNA from 1 species